rnacentral:rRNA from 1 species
GAUGAACGCUAGCGGGAGGCUUAAUACAUGCAAGUCGAGGGGCAGCAUGACUAAACCUAGUUUAGUUGAUGGCGACCGGCGAACGGGUGAGUAACGCGUACGCGAACUUACCUCCGAGUGAGGCAUAGCCCUGGGAAACUGGGAUUAAUACCGUCAUAGUAUUUAGAUAUGGCAUCAUGUUUAGAUUAAAGCGUUAGUGCUCGGAGAUAGGCGUGCGUCCUAUUAGCUAGUUGGUGAGGUAAUGGGCUCACCAAGGCAACGAUAGGUAGGGGGCGUGAGAGCGUGGACCCCCCACACGGGGUACUGAGACACGGGACCCGAUCCUACGGGA